UAAUACGAAAUAGUCUACUCGCCAGCAA
rnacentral:sRNA from 1 species